rnacentral:siRNA from 1 species
CCUGAAUGGCUCUCUCUAGCGGA